UUCCUUUCCUUUCCAUUGCAUAGGUACCAAACAGGGCGUGAACUCUCCAUCUGCAAUUCCAUUAUCACGCUUCUCGCUCUGGUUGUCCAACUAGAACUAGGGAUACACAGCAGCACAUCAACUCUCUCUCUCUCUCUCUCUCUCUCUCUCUGGGAUACACAGCAGCACAUCAACUCUCUCUCUCUCUCUCUCUCUCUCUCUCUCUGCUCCAUCAAUGGCUACAUCGACCGCGCCGAAAGAGGAAAACUCCACCACCACCACCAACGACGCUUCACCGGCUCCUCAACUACCACCACCUCUCACUGCUGCCACGGACUCGUCUCCCGAGGAAAUCGACGAACCGAAGAGCCUCGGAGACUCUCCAACGACCGGAGACGCGGCGGCUGAUCCAAUGGCCGUGAAAAACAACGGCGCCAACAACGACGACGUUACAGUUUCCUAUACCCAGAAGAAGAUGCGAAGAGCGGAGCGGUUCGGAGUGCCUGUGCAGAUCUCGGAGGAAGAGAAGCGGAAUACUCGAGCAGAAAGGUUUGGGACUGGGUCUGGGUCUGAGUCCGGUGUGCAUGGAUCAGAUGCAUUGAUGAAAUCAGAAGAACAAAAGAGAAAGGCUAGAGGGGAGAGGUUUGGGUCCGUGCAGUCUGUUUCUGCUGAUGAGGAGGCGAAGAAGAAAGCCAGGCUUUCCAGGUUUACAGCAGCUGCCCCGAUAGAUCCUUUGGAAGAGGAAAAAAAGAAAGCAAGGGCAUUAAGGUUUUCACAAGCUCCGUCUGGCUGUCCAUCACAAGUAAAUGGCAAAGCAUAUGAUAUUGAAACUAAAACAGCUAUCACGGGCAAGGCUGGCGGGGAGACCUAAAUGCCUUUGUUUUUCUGUUCAUGGUUUCUUUGGUGAGCUGUCUUAAUUAAUUUGCCGUCUCAUAUGGCAUGAUCUUCCAUUAUCAGACACCCUCUCAAGGUGUAUGGCAGCAUGACGGAGCUUUUUUUUUUUCUCAGAUGUAUCUGUUCACCUGGUGAGGCCAGGAUACUCAACACCUACUUCUCCUUAGUGUUAACCUAUUUUAAUGACUGACAAAAAGUAUCAAAAUUCUGAAAUUAUAGGCGUGGGAAAAAUUUCUGCUCUCAGUUUCAGAUAUAGAACUGAGACUCUUCAGAAAGCACUGACUCCUAAUUUUGGUUCUGUACAACUAUCCUUAUUUUCUUCCUCUAUUAUUAGCACGUGAGCAACCCCUCAUAUCUACGCGUAGUGAUGUCAUAUACCGUGGGUUCGCUUGGUAUCUGCAAUAACAUUUAACUUUGUGAGUCUAACAUCAUCUGAUCCAAGAAUUUGAGCGUCAAAUUUGCUGCAUAGUCAGUUCCAUACUUGUAGAACAAUCCUAUUACCAGAAAUCACAAAGCAUACAACUGUGGUCUUUUCUUUUUUCCUUUUUUUCUUUCCGUCUCUAUUUUUAGAGAACUGCAAUCUUUUGGAUUUGUAAGAUUCAAGGCUAUAGAUAGCCAGAAAUAUGUAACAGUUUUUGGAGCAAAACAUAAAGCAACUGGUUUUGUUUUGCUUUCUAACUCUAGAUUGACAGCUUUUAGGAAGGUGCCGUUGAUUUUUGGAACCAUGCAUAUUGCCAGUGUUAUUGAUGCUUAGGUCGAGUUUAUGUAAUGCAUUAUUUGUUUUUAUGUGCUGAGCUUGUGUGCUUACAAGUUCACUUCGUGUGUCACAUUUUGUGGCACAUGGUGUGAACAUGUUGACUUUUGGAUUCGUGGAUCAGAUGAUAGUAACCUUGCAUUUUUCAAUUGGGUCAAAAUUAUUUUACUGCUGUUUUCAUACUUGAGCACGCAGAUAUGAGGGGGAUUUGGGGAAAGUUUGAGGGUAAAGUUGUCAGAGGAUAGAAUUUGAACUCAUUCUUGUCC